ensembl:lncRNA
AUGUGGGUGCCCUGUUGGCCUGGAGUUUGGGUAGCCCCCGACCCCCAGGGGUCCCUCCCAUGGAUGCCAACAUUAAAGAACACUCGCAUGUCACUUUCAAAGCUCACUUUGUGCUUUUACAAACAUCUCUGAUUCUUCCACAUCCCUGGGGGGGCAGGCGCUCUACGGUUUUUCUUGCAGCUCAUGGUUCUGUUGAGUCAUUCCCUGCUGGGUCUAGCAUCUCUCCGUAAGCACAUGCGACUCUAACAAUUUUUCCACCUUUGGCUUCAGGACAUCUUCACUGUCCACCUCCCUGGGAAGGACAAUGUGAGGGCCAAUGGUUUUCUGCCCUCAAGGGACUUAGUGUCCAUCUGGGGGUCACAACUGGAGGGUUAAUACUGAGGGGGCACCAGAAGGCAGGGUUUGGGUGAGUACUCAACAAAAUGCACAGACCCUGAUGCAAAAUGAGCUCACAGGACAGACAAAGCACUGGAUCAAGCAGGAAGCGACAAAGUACCAGAGGGGGUUGAAUGAUAUCUGACACUUAGUAGAAACACAAGGCUUUUGUGGCGGGCAGGGGCAAGGCUGAUUCUCAUUAUUCAUGGCAGCUAUGCCCUAUAUGGGCUCCCCAGGUGGCGCUAGUGGUAAAGAACCUGCCUGCCAAUGCAGGAGACAUAAGAGAUGCAGGUUCAAUCCCUGGGUCGGGAAGAUCCCCCGGAGGCAGGCAUGACAACUGACUCCAGUAUUCUUGCCUGGAGAAUCCCAUGGACAGAGGGAGCCUUGGUCUCUACAGACACUGAAUUAGUUACCUCGGAACCACGGCUCCCAGGGCAAAUACAGGGUGAGGUUCCUCGGAGCCUCCCUUGGGCAAAACAGUGGAGCCACUGACAUACAUUUUGCUGAAUUUCCUCUUCCUUUUUCUGGAUGUGCCAUAUUGUGGAUUCAUUAACACUGAACCCUGGGUCGGCAGCACCAUAACACACACCUGAAGGAUGCUUAUCAAAUGUGUAUUACAUGUGUAUUCUCCUGCGGGCACAUCACAGUCUUCUGGCCCUUAGGAACGCUAGACAGCCCUUCAGCUCUCCACCCAGGAGCAUUUUAAACAAUGAAGUCACCGACAAAAUGCCCAAAGUGGCACUAAAGAGACACAGAAAGGAAGCUUGUUUAGCGUCUGAGACCUGAAACAAGAAGCCAGCGUUACCUUAGUUGGAUCUCAGCUGGGAAUGUGAGCGACUCAAAAUUUUGCCUUUCUGCUCUGACCAUGAACAGCAGAGAAAGCCGCAGAAGUCCUGAGCCGGGGGCUUACAAAUCAGUGUUGGUGGGUAGGUGCGUUGGCAAACGCAGACUCCGUGAACAACGAGGAUCAGUUGUACCCUGUUACAGAAGGCCUGUGAGGAGAGGCACUCGGUCCCCAUCCGCCGAUUGAAUCUGACUGUAAACACAGGUGAAGGAGGCUCUCAGGUGGGGGAAAUGAUCGAGGCUGAUGAAGCGAGGGUGGGAAGCUGGUUCUGGGGUAAUGUGGUGAUGGGAGGGGGCGUGGCCAGCGAGGCAGAGGUGGUCAGAUAGGGGGAGGGCCGUGACUAUCCGGACAAGGGAUCAAACUUUACCCAGCAGACCACAGAGAACCUGGCAAGGGCAGGACUGGAAAAGAGCAUAAUUUUAGGACCUUGAAGGAUGGGUCAGGAGAGGAUGCUCUGGACAGAGGCCGUGUGAGGUCAGCACCAGGCCACCCCUGGAUCCUUAGAAUGGCGCUGAGAGGCUGGUCUAGAGUGAGUGAGAAGAGGAAAUAGCUUUGUGGUGUCAGACUCCCAAGUCUCCGUAUCUGUCCAAAAGGAACAAGCCAGGAUCCAGGCAGGCCAAACACCCAGGGGGCGGCCUUCCCUGACCCCGUCCUCCGUCUCCCUCUUGAUGCGCCCAGGGCUCCCCAUCACGCAUCACGGCUGUUUACCUGCCUGUCGUCUUUGCUGACAUCCAUUAAAACCCUUGAGGUGUCCAGACACUUGCACAUGAUAACUCGUGAUGGGCAUGGUCCUCACGUCAGAGCUGAGCUGGCUGCAACUUGGCAUCUGGGGAGCGCUUCAAUGGGAACCAGCCUCCCCCCAGCACCCUGGACCCCACCCCCUGGGAACUGCAGCUCAGCGUGAGAGUCACAAGUCACCACGGGGCCCAGAUGGGUGGGGGCGGCCUGGGGGAGCUAAUUCCCUGGUGACUAAACCUCUGCUUUGGAGAGAAGAACCUGUGUCAGCUCGCCCACUCCCCAGCCCCGUGGCUCCACUCAGAACCUAACACCGCAGCGGGACGCGGCCGUCACCAGACUUGUCUCACUGACCUCACGAAGAUGCUUCCUCCAGGGCCCAGGAAACCACGAGAGAGCACCCCGUGCAGCCAGGUCUCUGGGGUGGCCUGUAAACACCCUCCAAAGGCAUGGCCAUGGGAGACCCUGCCCUCUGCGCCAUUCCUGGGCAGGCCAUACUGGGCUCAGGAUCUGGUUCAAGUCCUGCCACUCAGGGGCCUCACCUGACCUCGCAGAACAGGGGUGAUCACAUGUUGUGUCCUCCUCAUCCGGGUGCUGUGAGGGACAGAAUGCCCUCAGUGCCAAAUGCCGCCAAGAGGCCAUUACUACCAGCCCAACCUGCUUUGAAUGCACCCUGGUGGUGCGAUGUUCUGGUCCCACUUUUCAAAUCCUUUUCAGGUCAGAAGGAUCUCAAAGCUGACUUCUGGAAGGAGGAGGAAGCGUGGUUGAAGCCUCUCCUUUUCCCGGACCCCAGGCCAAUGCCGAAGCAGGUGGCAAGGAGCAGGAAGGAAUGUUCUGGAAGGUGUUGUUUUCUGCUUCCUCACUGCUAUCCAUUGGACCCUCCUAGAUGAUUUUUGUCCGCUUGUUGCUUCUAGAGCCCCACCCUCACCCACCCACCGAGGGAGGUCCAGGCAGGAUCUAACUGAGGAAACACAAAGGGAGCUGAAAUAAAAGACACUUGGCCAAGACUUGAGGGGGGAGUGCAAAAGUGCAUUGGAAAGGAAAGAUGGAAUGCUCUACCCUCCUGUACAUACAGGGCCGAAUGAAAACACCCAUCUGUCUUGCAGAUUGAUGGCGGGCUGGGGAGAGCAAGGAAGCCGGUUUCUCUGUGCAGGCAACAUGCAGAGGCUCCCUUAAAUUACACCUACGUGAUAAAUGACAUCACAUACCAAUUAACACCCGCAAAGAGCCACUUGGGCACCAGGUGUGGGAAUACCAACAACAAAGGCUUUCUCUGAACCUCACAGAAGCCUGGGUGUGUGAGUGACACCAUGGACCGAGGCUGUGGCUCAUUCUGAGGAUUUGGAAUGAAGCUCCCUUGCUUGAGCCUCUUGUGAGUGCCGGUGAGCCAGCCAGGCCUUCUCCUGUCUGAGAUUUAACCUGAGAGAGGACAGCAAGAAAAGACAGGAAGGCAAAAUGGAGGAGAAAGAGGACAAGUAAAAGGAAAAACAGGUUCUCGUGGUGGGACGGUAUGGGGGCAAGUAGGCCACAAGAAAUGGCCUUGACGACUCCUUGAGCCAAAGCUCACCAACCCCAUUAGCCACGCCAGCAUCCUUGCAGCCUCUAGUGAGAUGCCACCCCAAGCCCCUCCUGUGGCUUAAUAUUCAAGGACAGUGGGCCCCAUGAAGCCCAAGGAUGGUCCAUCCUCACCUCUCCCAAGGAGCUCUCUCUGCCCACUCUGUCCACAGCAAUCCUUCCCUCUGUUGACCUCACAUCCAGAGAUGGAUAUACCAGCAUCCCAGGACUUUGGUCACCAGAGGCUCAGUCUCCUGAGGUCAAGACCCCAGGCCUCCCCAAUGCAGACCCUUUCCAAGGCCAGUCUCAGCUCCCCCUGACCUGCACCCACUCCACACCUUCCUCUGCUCCCCAGUCCACUCAGGGAAGCACAAAGCCAGCUGAGUGUGUAGGGCGACCUGAGCUUCAGCCACUCAAGCUGGUUCCCUGGGGAAGGAAUCAGAACGGAAUUCAGAGCCACAAAGGACAAGGUUCUGGCUCAGCCGUGGGCUCUGACAAAACCUACAGCUGACUCAGUACUCCUUCAGCAUGCCACUUUCAAGAGUCAUUUUCUGAACACAACAGGUUCUCUGGAGACCCCAAGGCAGUCACAACUUCCCAGGAGACCGCACCAGGAGAGUGUACCAGACAAGGCCCUCCAGGAAGGGAUUUUUCUUAAAACAAGAUUAUCAACAAUGGCAUCACUACCAC